rnacentral:lncRNA from 1 species
UGUUGAUAAAUCAAGCAUUGUCUAGAGCUUUGGAUGUAACUUCAGACAGCAAUGAAAACCCCUAUUUUAAAUUAAGGAUUAAGUCCUAUAAAUACAAAUUUUUAUAUACCCAAUCCAGGAUAAAAGAUGUCUAAUUGUAAUCAACCCAAUACCAAGAGACUGACUGAUCUCUUCUGUCUGUGCUACUGACAGUUUGGGCAUGCAAAAGUAACACAAGCUAGAGGAGAGGGAUCCCAUACAAGCCUCUAUCCCUGCCAAUGACCACCUUGUUUGGGGGCCUGCUGUCCAGCACAGGGGCAAUCAAUGACAGACAUGGACUGAAAUGUAUGAGGCAUGUCCUUCCUAACCAGUUGUUGAUUGACCCUUCCUUCAGCAGCGCAUGUUCGCAUGUUCUCUGAUAAGUAGUAAUAUCUAUAUAUUUGGCCCAUGGGCUAUAGUUUGCCUGCCCCUGAUAUAGAAGAAUGAAUUCUCCAGUUCAGUAGCUGCAUAUGAAGAGCCAGAGACUGUGUUGAUCUGCUCCAUUAAUGGUUCCAUAUUUUGCAUGUAAGCCAAAAUGGGAAUUAUUAUCCAAUUAAAUUUAUAAUAGAGUUUACCAUGGCUUGCCAUAAGCCAUCUUUUUUUUUUUUCAGGACCCAGGCAAAUUAACUGAAUAGGGAUAUGGUGCAAACACCACCUCUGCAUACCUACAGUCUCUGAUGACAGUUGAAAUGUCUGCAAUCCUCCUGGAUACAGACUGCUUCUCAUUUACCAUGCAGGCCAGGAAUGUGUAUGUAGGGUGUGUGUGUGUGUGUGUGUGUGUGUGUGUGUUUAGGAGAAGUUUUAGGGGUUUCUAAUUGGCCCUUCUUACCAUGAUGACUCUCAGGGAAAUAAUGUGUGUGAAAGUUCUGCCAGAUGCCCAACAUAACUGUAUACUUGGUGACUAGGAAAAAAACUGAGAUAAACUCAGGCUAAAAUUUCAUUUAGCACCUACACUCCAUAUACCACUACUCUAAUCAAAUUCCAUACUUAACAUUGCUCAAAAAAAUCUAUGUAUUUUCCCUUCCCCAGAGUACAGUACUCUAUCAACUGGCCUUGGGUCUCUCUGGUGGAAAUAUAUAUGCUCACACAGUGUGCCAAGGUUAUUCUUCAAGGGUACUCAGCUUCCCUUUCAAUACACGGAUUCUAGGUCUUGAAACUGAAAUAAGGGCCAUAAAUUUCCAUUGUGGUGACUGAUGUCACACUUCUGCUCCAUGGUUCUCAAU